UUUUUCAGGGCAGGAGAUGUGUUUGGAAGGAGAGGAAAUCGACAGCUUAAACAACUCUGGAGACUUCGUGGAUUAUUAGAACGAUUAUCUGUUGCACUCAUUGUUCUUUUGAUCUGUUGUAUCUCUCUUUUCACUACUUUCAAGAGUACUACCAAUCGCCCUGGGAUUCACUCCGGUGAAGAGUCGACCAAAGAUGAGAAAAAUGCUAUUGAAAAAUCGCCACAAUAAUAGGGAUUUUCCGGUGUAGAAUGAUUGCUCUCACAGGAUUUAUUGGUGGAGACCGCGACAGAGCAGGAUGGCUCAGUCAGUAAUAUCACCGUGCAGCCCACAGUUUUUCAGGCAUUGACACUAGCAGUACGUAAAGCGAGUCAAUCUAUAUGCAGUUA